rnacentral:rRNA from 1 species
GUCCUAGCCGUAAACGAUGAUCACUAGGUGUUGGCUCACUUUUUGUGGGUCAGUGCCGUAGGUAACCUGUUAAGUGAUCCACCUGGGGAGUACGACCGCAAGGUUGAAACUCAAAGGAAUUGACGGGGGCCAGCACAAGCGGUGGAACAUGUGGUUCAAUUCGAUGCUACGCGAAGAACCUUACCCAGGCUUGACAUGCUUGAAGUAGAAACCUGAAAGGGUGACGACUCGUAACCAGUCGAGAGCUUGCACAGGUGCUGCAUGGCUGUCGU